UCUUUGUGACUUCCACCAUGGCGUACCGUGGCCAGGGCCAAAAGGUGCAGAAGGUGAUGGUGCAGCCCAUCAACCUUAUCUUCAGAUACUUGCAAAAUAGAUCUCGAAUUCAGGUGUGGCUGUAUGAACAAGUGAAUAUGCGGAUAGAAGGUUGUAUUAUUGGCUUUGAUGAGUACAUGCACCUCGUAUUAGAUGAUGCAGAAGAGAUUCAUUCUAAAACAAAAUCAAGAAAACAACUGGGUGGGAUCAUGCUAAAAGGAGAUAUUACUCUGCUCCAAAGUGUUUCCAAUUAG